rnacentral:rRNA from 2 species
GGGAAUAGGCCAUCUUUUUAUUUUUAAAAGACCUUUUUCGGAAGGUAUGCUUAAAGAGGGGCUUGCGUCACAUUAGUUAGUUGGCAGGGUAAAGGCCUACCAAGACUAUGAUGUGUAGCUGGACUGAGAGGUUGAACAGCCACAUUGGGACUGAGACACGGCCCAAACUCCUACGGGAGGCAGCAGUAGGGAAUUUUCGGCAAUGGAGGAAACUCUGACCGAGCAACGCCGCGUGAACGAUGAAGUAUUUCGGUAUGUAAAGUUCUUUUAUUGAAGAAGAAAAAAUAGUGGAAAAACUAUCUUGACGAUAUUCAAUGAAUAAGCCCCGGCAAACUAUGUGCCAGCAGCCGCGGUAAUACAUAGGGGGCGAGCGUUAUCCGGAAUUAUUGGGCGUAAAGGGUGCGUAGGCGGUUUAAUAAGUCUAUAGUUUAAUUUCAGUGCUUAACACUGUCCUGCUAUAGAAACUAUUAGACUAGAGUGAGAUAGAGGCAAGUGGAAUUCCAUGUGUAGCGGUAAAAUGCGUAAAUAUAUGGAGGAACACCAGAGGCGUAGGCGGCUUGCUGGGUCUUUACUGACGCUGAGGCACGAAAGCGUGGGGAGCAAACAGGAUUAGAUACCCUGGUAGUCCACGCCGUAAACGAUGAGUACUAAGUGUCGGGAUUACUCGGUACUGAAGUUAACACAUUAAGUACUCCGCCCUGAGUAGUACGUACGCAAGUAUGAAACUUAAAGGAAUUGACGGGACUCCGCACAAGCGGGUGGAUCCAUGUUGUUUUAAUUCAAAAGAUACACGAAAAACCUUACCAGGUCUUGACAUACUCUGCAAAGCUAUAGCAAUAUAGUGGAGGUUAUCAGAGAUACAGGUGGUGCAUGGUUGUCGUCAGCUCGUGUCGUGAGAUGUUAGGUUAAGUCCUAAAACGAGCGCAACCCUUGUCAUUAGUUGCCAGCAUGUCAUGAUGGGCACUUUAAUGAGACUGCCAAUGAAAAAUUGGAGGAAGGUGAGGAUCACGUCAAAUCAUCAUGCCCCUUAUGAUCUGGGCUACAAACGUGAUACAAUGGCUGUUACAAAGAGUAGCUGAAACGCAAGUUUAUAGCCAAUCUCAUAAAAGCAGUCUCAGUUCGGAUUGAAGUCUGCAACUCUGACUUCAUGAAGUUGGAAUCGCUAGUAAUCGCGAAUCAGCAUUCGCCGGAAUUCUUAUUUUU